UAUUAUAUGUUUUUUUUUAUUUUAAUAUCAUUUUAUAGCCAAUAUCUUACGAAAAAAUUUUAUGAGUCGAUAACAACUUUAGGAUAAGUACAUAUGGAGUUACAAGGAAAACAUUUCUGUGUGUAUUUACUUGAAAAAUUGUACUCAAAUAUAAGAGAACUUCAAAAAUCGUCAAAAAUAACUACCAAUAAACAUCUAAAUAAAAUCACUUAAUAUACGGAACAGUUAAACGAUUUAUUUGAUAUUUCCAUUCUAAUUCAUUAGAUAUGAUGAAAAUUGAGUAAGAUAAAAAUAUUUCGUUGUUACAAAGAUAGAAAGGUAGACCUGAUUUCAUUCAACAAGUUUUUCAAAAGAAAAAACAAAAUGAAGAGUUAAAAAAAAAAGAAACAAAAUAAAUGUUCACAAUCAGAAAUGGAAUCCAUUGGUAUGAUAAUGUGUUAGAGUUAAAUUUAUCUAGUUCCUCGGAAUUUGAAACAGCAGAUGAUUUGUCUAGUUCAUCAUAUUCUUCAAAAACACAAGGUUCUAUAGCUUUUAUGACUUCUAAGUUACUUGCUGCAUUAGAUCAAUGCAAGUUAUCUGACCGCGAUGCUGUGCAUUUAAUUAUUUCUACUGCUGAAACAUUAUUUAAUAACAUAUCAAAGUUAAUAAUCAACCGAUUAAAUAUUCGACGGGAAAGAUUAUUUUUUAGAGAGAGAACGGCAAAUGAAAUUUUAAAAAUUUUAAACUCUUGGAUAAAAAUAGUCUAGUCUUGCAUUGGGAUGAAAAAUUACUUUAGAUAUUAUGAAAAGAUCUAAAGUUAAUCGAUUGCCAAUCUUGGUGUCAUUUGAAGGAUAAAGUCAAUUACUUGGGGUCCCAAUAAUUGAGAGUGGUUCUGGCGAGAAUGGAAUUUGCUAAAAAUAUACAAUUUCAGUAAACAGUUAAUGUUUAAAACACGAAAAAAAGACGCAUUUCGUGAUAUUUGUGUAUUUUUGUUAAAAGUUUAUGCCGAGACUUGGAUUAAGGGAUCUAUUGUCAUACAAUCACCAUUUAAUGAUUUAUGUUUCCUAAAAUUUUUAAUUAAUUAUCCUGAUUAUUUUAUAACUAUAGCUUGACACAGAAAUUUUCAGGACAUUUAUGGUAUUUAUCACAUGACAAUGUAGCUUUAGCAUUUUUUGAUAACAGAUUACCGGCAGAUAUUAAACUGAAAAUAGUUGAGGCAAAAAGAGAAACAUGACAAAGAGAAGAUAAAAAAAAACGGUAGCACAGUAAGGUCGCGGCAUAGUGGAGACAUUGCAUAGUAGGGUCCAGUAUAGAUUUAAUCUGACAGUGAUUAAAAUCACUAUCAUAAGAAACGCUUCGAUGCAAAUCUGUAGAUAGUGUUUAAUUUUAAAAAAUUGAUGGAUAAUUGCAAAAGCAACAUCAACUUCUAUUAAAAUAAAAUACAAA